CCUGACGCAGCAAUACCGCGUGAGUGAAGAAGGCUUUCGGAUCGUAAAGCUCUGUUAUUGGGGAAGAAAAAUGACCGGUCCCCAAGAGGAAGUCCCGGCUAACUCCGUGCCAGCAGCCGCGGUAAUACGUAUGGGACAAGCGUUGUCCGGAUUUACUGGGCGUAAAGGGUGCGCAGGCGGUUUUUUAAGUCAGAUGUGAAAGGUUCCGGCUCAACCGGUGACAUGCUUUUGAACUUGAUGGAUUGACUGCUUGGAAAGGCAGUGGAAUUUCCUAUGGUAGAGGGAAAUGGAUUUAUAUUUGGAGGAACACCGGUGGCAAGGUGGCUCUGCUGGACAAAUACGACGGCUAAGGUGCGAACCCGUGGGGAGCACACAGGAUUUAAUACCCUGGGAGUCCACCCCCUAAACAAUAAGGGCUAGGUGUUGGGGAGACUCCCUGCCGCGGCUAAGGUAAUAAGUACUCCGCCUGGGGAGUACAACCGCAAGGUUGAACCUCAACUGAAUUGAC
rnacentral:rRNA from 1 species